UUAGCCCGCCAGACACAACACCCGUCUGGUCGGAGGAUCCUCCCUUUUCGGUGGCGGAGGUGAUUCUUCACACCAUGUUCCUCCACACUUCUAAGCUGGUGACCCCGACGUGAUUCUUCACACCAUGUUCCUCCACACUUC